CCCAGGUUAGCUUAGUACGUAGAGCGCUCCACAGGAGAUGGAGAGGCGCCUGGUUCGAUACCAGGACCAGGCG
rnacentral:tRNA from 1 species